UACAGAGGUCUCAAGCGUUAUUCGGAAUUAUUGGGCGUAAAGGGCGCGUAGGCGGCUUGGCAAGUGGAUGGUGAAAUCCCUCGGCUUAACCGAGGAACUGCCGUCCAAACUGCUUCGCUUGAGACCGGGAGAGGUGAGUGGAAUUCCCAGUGUAGCGGUGAAAUGCGUAGAUAUUGGGAGGACACCAGUGGCGAAGGCGGCUCACUGGACCGGUACUGACGCUGAUGCGCGAAAGCGUGGGAGCAACGGG
rnacentral:rRNA from 1 species